UGCAGGAGGAGGGCAAGGGCCAGUGUCUCCCGUAGGAGCAGACCCAGAGAGAACGUCUCAAACAGAAAACUGAGAAACAGCAACACAACGUGCUGUGUAGAAAUACGGACACAAAUGGCAGAAGAAACAGAAUCUAAGUUAAAAAGAGCAGACAGCAGCCACGCUGGCCUUCAGGGACCAUGGCCUCUCCUGUCGCAUCUCCUUAGCUCUGUCACUGAGGCAGGAAGAAACCACAGGCAGUCCUCACCCCACCCUGCCCUGAAGAUGGCCACGAUCUGGUGACCUGCACCGCUGAUUAGCUCUACCCGUUCUGGAGCGCCACAUAAACGGGGCCCUACAGCAUGCACUGUCUGGUAUCUUUCUUGUAG